CCUACGGGAGGCAGCAGUAAGGAAUAUUGGUCAAUGGACGAAAGUCUGAACCAGCCAUGCCGCGUGAAGGAUGAAGGCCCUCUGGGUUGUAAACUUCUUUUAUAGGGGACGAAAAAAGGGAAUUCUUUCCCACUUGACGGUACCCUAGGAAUAAGCACCGGCUAACUCCGUGCCAGCAGCCGCGGUAAUACGGAGGGUGCAAGCGUUAUCCGGAUUUACUGGGUUUAAAGGGUGCGUAGGUGGGCAGUUAAGUCAGUGGUGAAAUCUCCGAGCUUAACUCGGAAACUGCCAUUGAUACUAUCUGUCUUGAAUAUCCUGGAGGUGAGCGGAAUAUGUCAUGUAGCGGUGAAAUGCUUAGAUAUGACAUAGAACACCAAUUGCGAAGGCAGCUCACUACGGGAUUAUUGACACUGAGGCACGAAAGCGUGGGGAUCAAACAGGAUUAGAUACCCUGGUAGUCCACGCCCUAAACUAUGGAUACUCGACAUCAGCGAUACACUGUUGGUGUCUGAGCGAAAGCAUUAAGUAUCCCACCUGGGAAGUACGAUCGCAAGAUUGAAACUCAAAGGAAUUGACGG
rnacentral:rRNA from 1 species